rnacentral:rRNA from 1 species
AGAGUUUGAGUCCUGGCUCAGAUUGAACGCUGGCGGCAUGCUUUACACAUGCAAGUCGGACGGCAGCGGAGGUGCUUGCACCUGCCGGCGAGUGGCGAACGGGUGAGUAACAUAUUGGAAUGUACCGAGUAUGGGGGAUAACCAAUCGAAAGAUUGGCUAAUACCGCAUACGUCCUAAGGGGGAAAGCAGGGGAUCUUCGGACCUUGCGCUAUUUGAGCAGCCAAUAUCUGAUUAGCUAGUUGUGGGGUAAAGGCCCACCAAGGCGACGAUCAGUAGCGGGUCUGAGAGGAUGAUCCGCCACACUGGGACUGAGACACGGCCCAGACUCCUACGGGAGGCAGCAGUGGGGAAUUUUGGACAAUGGGGGCAACCCUGAUCCAGCCAUGCCGCGUGUCUGAAGAAGGCCUUCGGGUUGUAAAGGACUUUUGUUAGGGAAGAAAAGAGAAGUGUUAAUACCACUUUUUGCUGACGGUACCUAAAGAAUAAGCACCGGCUAACUGCGUG